AGAAUUUCAACUUCGAAUAUUGGCUCUUGCAUAUUGCAAUAUUUCUAUUAAUUGUGUUAUGUUCACGGGGACAUGCAUGAAUGAGAAUAAUUUUAGGUGAGACCUAUUCUACCCCUUGAUAAUUUGGGGGUAUAAUUUGCAUGUGAUUCCCAUAACUAACUUGUAACCAACUUUUAUUUCAUAUGUAUAUGACUUGUUCUUAUUGGUUGAUUUGUAAUAAUACUCCCAAAUUAUAAAGGGGGUUUAGAAAGGAAAAAAAAAAACCAUAAUUUUAUUACUAUACAUCAUUAUAUUUCAGAUGAAAUUUUAACAUCCUCUGACUUCUCACUAUAUGUUUGAUUAAUAUCUUUGCAUUCAGGGCUACAAGAAUGACUUACUAGGAUUGGGAAUGUAACUUGCCAAGGAGAACUACAAGUAUCAUCUGCACUUCAUCUGCUGAAAAUUAAUCACAAGAAAAUAUUGAUGGAUCCCAAUUUGUAAAACAGAACAUCAAAAUAAUCUUUUUGAAGCAAGUUAAUUUGUUCUGAGUAAGUCUUAAAUAUAUAUAUAUAUAUGUAUAACAACCUUGUAAGUUUAUCACAUAUUAGACCUCAUCUUCAAAUUAGCUAGCUAGAAAUGGUAAGAAUGCUGCUUAUAGUUUUAUAGCGUAUAUGCUUGUAUAAUCAUAAGCUCGUAUGAUUAAAGUAGGGCUGC
rnacentral:lncRNA from 1 species